rnacentral:rRNA from 1 species
GGCGAGGGGAGUGAAAAAGAACCUGAAACCGUGUACGUACAAGCAGUGGGAGCACAGGUUUACCUGUGUGACUGCGUACCUUUUGUAUAAUGGGUCAGCGACUUAUAUUCUGUAGCAAGGUUAACCGUAUAGGGGAGCCGGAGGGAAACCGAGUCUUAACCGGGCGUUAAGUUGCAGGGUAUAGACCCGAAACCCGGUGAUCUAGCCAUGGGCAGGUUGAAGGUUGGGUAACACUAACUGGAGGACCGAACCGACUAAUGUUGAAAAAUUAGCGGAUGACCUGUGGCUGGGGGUGAAAGGCCAAUCAAACCGGGAGAUAGCUGGUUCUCCCCGAAAGCUAUUUAGGUAGCGCCUCGUGAAUUCAUCUCCGGGGGUAGAGCACUGUUUCGGCUAGGGGGCCAUCCCGGCUUACCAACCCGAUGCAAACUGCGAAUACCGGAGAAUGUUAUCACGGGAGACACACGGCGGGUGCUAACGUCCGUCGUGAAGAGGGAAACAACCCAGACCGCCAGCUAAGGUCCCAAAGUCAUGGUUAAGUGGGAAACGAUGUGGGAAGGCCCAGACAGCCAGGAUGUUGGCUUAGAAGCAGCCAUCAUUUAAAGAAAGCGUAAUAGCUCACUGGUCGAGUCGGCCUGCGCGGAAGAUGUAACGGGGCUAAACCAUGCACCGAAGCUGCGGCAGCGAACGUAUCACCCAAGACAACUUUACGGAGUUGACGAUUGACGGAGCGAAGCGACGUCAAAGCGUUCAUUAAAGUCGAGUUGGCUUAGGGAUACGUUCGUUGGGUAGGGGAGCGUUCUGUAAGCCUGUGAAGGUGGCCUGUGAGGGUUGCUGGAGGUAUCAGAAGUGCGAAUGCUGACAUAAGUAACGAUAAAGCGGGUGAAAAGCCCGCUCGCCGGAAGACCAAGGGUUCCUGUCCAACGUUAAUCGGGGCAGGGUGAGUCGACCCCUAAGGCGAGGCCGAAAGGCGUAGUCGAUGGGAAACGGGUUAAUAUUCCCGUACUUGGUGUUACUGCGAAGGGGGGACGGAGAAGGCUAUGUUGGCCGGGCGACGGUUGUCCCGGUUUAAGCGUGUAGGUGUGUGUUCCAGGUAAAUCCGGUUCACUUUAACACUGAGGCGUGAUGACGAGGCACUACGGUGCUGAAGCAACAAAUGCCCUGCUUCCAGGAAAAGCCUCUAAGCAUCAGGUAACAUCAAAUCGUACCCCAAACCGACACAGGUGGUCAGGUAGAGAAUACCAAGGCGCUUGAGAGAACUCGGGUGAAGGAACUAGGCAAAAUGGUGCCGUAACUUCGGGAGAAGGCACGCUGACACGUAGGUGAAGUGAUUUACUCA